GGAAAAUGGGAGUGCUUGGGAAAUGGACAGUGGAAAAUGGAAAGUGGGUGCUGGUGCUGGUGCUCUAUCUCUGACUGGCUGCACACAAGUGGUCGCAUUUAUGUGGACAAUAUGUUUGCCUUGACCUUGCCAGGACGUGCCCAGCUGCACACACACGCACGCACACACACACACGCACACACACACACGCACGCAGACAAUCCUACAUGCACGCUGCCAAUGACAGUUGUCAACAUGACAGUUAUAAGGACACUGAUACAAAUGUUACGGAUGUUUGUCUUGGCCGGACAAGGAAUGUUGUUUAUAGCAUGGCUUUUGGAGCUGUUUUAGGCAGUACUGUCAGAAGUUGGUGAGUCCGUUUUAGUUGCGAAAAUCCCAUCCAAUGUCCGGCAAUCAAUGCCUGGGACCAAUGUAGAUCCCGCCGAGACUAUCGCCGC